rnacentral:rRNA from 1 species
AUUGAACGCUGGCGGCAUGCCUUACACAUGCAAGUCGAACGGCAGCACGGGUGCUUGCACCUGGUGGCGAGUGGCGAACGGGUGAGUAAUACAUCGGAACAUGUCCUGUAGUGGGGGAUAGCCCGGCGAAAGCCGGAUUAAUACUGCAUACGAUCUACGGAUGAAAGCGGGGGACCUUCGGGCCUCGCGCUAUAGGGUUGGCCGAUGGCUGAUUAGCUAGUUGGUGGGGUAAAGGCCUACCAAGGCGACGAUCAGUAGCUGGUCUGAGAGGACGACCAGCCACACUGGGACUGAGACACGGCCCAGACUCCUACGGGAGGCAGCAGUGGGGAAUUUUGGACAAUGGGCGAAAGCCUGAUCCAGCAAUGCCGCGUGUGUGAAGAAGGCCUUCGGGUUGUAAAGCACUUUUGUCCGGAAAGAAAUCCUUGGCUCUAAUACAGUCGGGGGAUGACGGUACCGGAAGAAUAAGCACCGGCUAACUACGUGCCAGCAGCCGCGGUAAUACGUAGGGUGCGAGCGUUAAUCGGAAUUACUGGGCGUAAAGCGUGCGCAGGCGGUUUGCUAAGACCGAUGUGAAAUCCCCGGGCUCAACCUGGGAACUGCAUUGGUGACUGGCAGGCUAGAGUAUGGCAGAGGGGGGUAGAAUUUCCACGU